rnacentral:lncRNA from 1 species
CUUGCAUGAGUGGCGUCGUCCACAUACCACUUUAUCUGGCCCUCCAGAUACUUAUAAGCAUCUUGAACACCUGUCAAGGAGAGAUUUGCCUUCUCCAGGGCCUCAGCAGUCACCCUUUGGUGCUCAUUGGAGACCUCCACCUUCUUUGUUAAGGAGGCCACCUCGCAUUGUGACUCGUAUACUUCCUUUCUUAAGGCCUCAAUUUGGGCCAGUGCAGACUCAAGCUUCGCUGAUUCUUCAACUUUUUGGGUCUUGGCUUUCUCAGCCUCGGCCUUAGCAGCUUUCAGCUCCUCUGCGAGGGAGGCCAUCUUCCCCUCCGAGAUCUGGGUCCUUGUUUGAAAUUCACUAAGGGCCUUCCUGCAUUCGAGCGCGAGGCCGAAAGUCCUGACGCUCUGGCUCACUAAUGCCCUUGUAAGAUCAGUAGCAUCAUAAGCGGAGGCGUGCAUAUGCCACCUCUCCGUCCAGAACUUGUAGAAGCACUCAGUGGCGCUUCGGAUCUCUUCAGGGAGAGCCUCCACCAGGGCCUGGGCUAGUGCCUCCUCCUUCCCAGCUAAGAAGCUCGGAGACUUCCCCUUCUCAAGGACCGACUUUUGCUUCGCAGCCUCCUCCUCGGCAACCUCCGAAGCUCGCCUAGCAGCCUCCGCUCUAGCCUCCUCGGCCUCUGCCUCUCUAACCAUCUCAAUUUUGAUGGCCUUCAAGGUGGCUGCAAGCAACUUCAGCUCGCCAGUUUGCUUUGCCUCACGGGACACAGAGGUCCCGAAUUUUCCAGCCGAGCUGGAGAUAUGCACCAGCUUCCUCUUUUUUGUCUCCUCAGGGACCUUCUCCUUCCCUCGAGGCUCCUUCGGCUUCUCCUACCUCUGAGGUGCUGCCUCCUCCGAGGCCCGCGGAGUACAGUCCUUGGACAGGCGUUCAACCCUGCCUCGGACUUCCUUCGCCCCACUGGAACCCGGCUUCAGAGGCCUCGCCUUCACAGUAGAAGUGGCCUUCAGAAUGGAAGCCAUAUCUGGAGCUGGGUACUCCCUCUUCUUGAAUUUAU